rnacentral:rRNA from 1 species
UACCUACGGGACGCAGCAGUGGGGAAUAUUGCACAAUGGGGGAAACCCUGUUGCAGCAACGCCGCGUGAGUGAAGAAGUAUUUCGGUAUGUAAAGCUCUAUCAGCAGGGAAGAAGAUGACGGUACCUGAGUAAGAAGCCCCGGCUAACUACGUGCCAGCAGCCGCGGUAAUACGUAGGGGGCAAGCGUUAUCCGGAUUUACUGGGUGUAAAGGGAGCGUAGACGGCAGCGCAAGUCUGGAGUGAAAUGCCGGGGCCCAACCCCGGAACUGCUUUGGAAACUGUGCGGCUCGAGUGCGGGAGAGGG